rnacentral:rRNA from 1 species
AGCAGCCGCGGUAAUUCCAGCUCCAAUAGCGUAUAUUAAAGUUGUUGCAGUUAAAAAGCUCGUAGUUGAAUUUCAGGCCUGGCUGGACGGUCCGCCCUCUGGGUGAGAACUGUCUGUGGUCGGGUCCUACCUUCUGGCGAAGCGUCAUGGCCUUAACCGGCCGUGGCGGGGAACCAGGACUUUUACUGUAGAAAAAUUGAGUGUUCAAAGCAGGCAAUCGCUUGAAUACAUUAGCAUGGAAUAAUGGAAUAGGACAGUGGUUCUAUUUGUUGGUUUCUAGGACCGUUGUAAUGAUUAAUAGGGAUAGUUGGGGGCAUUAGUAUUCAAUUGUCAGAGGUGAAAUUCUUGGAUUUAUUGAAGACUAACUACUGCGAAAGCAUUUGCCAAGGAUGUUUUCAUUA